rnacentral:lncRNA from 13 species
GUGGCGCCUUCUCACUGACUCUAUCAGAGCGUGGAUAGACUGUGUGCCCUGGGGGCUGAUGUGGACAGGAACACCAGGUUCUCCCUCAUUUGUUCUUUAUCUGUACUUACUGCACGUUUUUCUGCCAUGGACUUUUUAUUAUUCUAAAUUGUGAGUGAGAUAAUAGUUGGUUUCUCAAAGUGCAAAGGCUAAACCUACUGAUAAACUUCAGCCGCUACCAAAGGAUAAACGCCACCCAAACUGCCAAAACAAUCAUGACCUCACUUCCUGCAUGGAGUCCGGAAUGCUUCACCAGAAACCCAGAGAACCCAGCAGGCAAGGCUCUGGCACAGGUCACAGGCAGAGAUCAAUGAGUCAUCCAAGCCGUUCCUCGGCCAACUCUUUUAAGGAAGAAAGAUACGGACUGCCAGGAAAGGAAGCAAUGGAAUUUCAAUAUAGAAAAGACCAGGCCACUUCUUUUCGGACGAGACACUUCUGCACAAAGAGCCCAUGGGUCACAUCUUCCGCCAGUUCAGAGAUGCUUCCAGGACAACCAAGCAAGGUCAAGCGACAGCACCAGCCUCUUUGACUUCGCUCUUUCCUCACCGGCCACACGAUUUCUCAGCUGCCCGGAGGGAUCAUCUAUAAUAGGCCAUUUUAUUUGGUAAAUGUUUCCCUACUUACUGAAGAGUGUUCAUUAUUAAUGACCAGAAAGGGAACUCCUGCCUCCCGUGGCAGAAGUUGAUACAUUUGCUUUGUAUAAUUGCUGUAUAUAGUUAGCCAUGUGGUCGUGCAGCUUAAAUAAAUUGCCUUCUUCCCAUAAGAGCCUCCCUGAG